GACGAACGCUGGCGGCGUGCUUAACACAUGCAAGUCGAACGGAGAUUAUUAAUGAAGUUUGCGAUUUAAUAAUCUUAGUGGCGGACGGGUGAGUAACGCGUGGGCAACCUACCCAUAAGCGGGGGAUAACAGUUGGAAACGACUGCUAAUACCGCAUAAGCUAUUAAGGUCACAUGACCUUAAUAGUAAAGGUGGCGAUUUUACAUUGCUAUCACUUAUGGAUGGGCCCGCGUCUGAUUAGCUAGUUGGUGGGAUAGCAGCCUACCAAGGCAACGAUCAGUAGCCGGCCUGAGAGGGUGGACGGCCACACUGGGACUGAGACACGGCCCAGACUCCUACGGGAGGCAGCAGUGGGGAAUAUUGCGCAAUGGGGGAAACCCUGACGCAGCAACGCCGCGUGAAGGAAGAAGGCCUUCGGGUUGUAAACUUCUUUGAUAGGGGACGAGUAAUGACGGUACCCUAAAACAAGACCACGGCUAACUACGUG
rnacentral:rRNA from 1 species